rnacentral:rRNA from 1 species
AUCAACUUUCGAUGGUAGGAUAGAGGCCUACCAUGGUGGUAACGGGUAACGGGGUGUUAGGGCACGACACCGGAGAGGGAGCCUGAGAAACGGCUACCACAUCCAAGGAUGGCAGCAGGCGCGCAAAUUACCCAAUCCCGACACGGGGAGGUAGUGACAAUAAAUAACAAUACGGGGUUCUUUCGGAUCUCGUAAUUGGAAUGAGUACAAUUUAAAUCUCUUAACGAGGAACAAUUGGAGGGCAAGUCUGGUGCCAGCAGCCGCGGUAAUUCCAGCUCCAAUAGCGUAUAUUAAAGUUGUUGCAGUUAAAAAGCUCGUAGUUGAAUUUCGGGGUUAGUAGGUUGGUCAUGCCUCUGGUAUGUACUGGUCUCACUGAUUCCUCCUUCCUGAUGAACCGUAAUGCCAUUAAUUUGGUGUUGCGGGGAAUUUGGACUGUUACUUUGAAAAAAUUAGAGUGUUUAAAGCAAGCUAACGCUUGAAUACAUUAGCAUGGAAUAAUGAAAUAGGACGUUCGAUCCUAUUUUGUUGGUUUCUAGGAUUGACGUAAUGAUUAAUAGGGAUAGUUGGGGGCAUUAGUAUUCAAUUGUCCGAGGUGAAAUUCUUGGAUUUAUUGAAGACUAACUACUGCGAAAGCAUUUGCCAAGGAUGUUUUCAUUAAUCAAGAACGAAAGUUAGGGGAUCGAAGACGAUCAGAUACCGUCGUAGUCUUAACCAUAAACUAUGCCGACUAGGGAUCGGAUGAUGUUAAUUUUUUAAUGACUCAUUCGGCGCCUUACGGGAAACCAAAGUGUUUGGGUUC